CUACGUGCCAGCAGCCGCGGUAAUACGUAGGUCCCAAGCGUUGUCCGGAUUUAUUGGGCGUAAAGCGAGCGCAGGCGGUUAGAUAAGUCUGAAGUUAAAGGCUGUGGCUUAACCAUAGUACGCUUUGGAAACUGUUUAACUUGAGUGCAAGAGGGGAGAGUGGAAUUCCAUGUGUAGCGGUGAAAUGCGUAGAUAUAUGGAGGAACACCGGUGGCGAAAGCGGCUCUCUGGCUUGUAACUGACGCUGAGGCUCGAAAGCGUGGGGAGCAAACAGGAUUAGAUACCCUGGUAGUCCACGCCGUAAACGAUGAGUGCUAGGUGUUAGACCCUUUCCGGGGUUUAGUGCCGCAGCUAACGCAUUAAGCACUCCGCCUGGGGAGUACGACCGCAAGGUUGAAACUCAAAGGAAUUGACGGGGGCCCGCACAAGCGGUGGAUUAUGUGGUUUAAUUCGAUGAUACGCGAGGAACCUUACCAAGGCUUAAAUGGGAAUUGACGAGCUUAGAAAUAGG
rnacentral:rRNA from 1 species